AGUGAACGCUGGCGGUAGGCCUAACACAUGCAAGUCGAACGGCAGCACAGUAAGAGCUUGCUCUUACGGGUGGCGAGUGGCGGACGGGUGAGGUAUACAUCGGAAUCUACUUUUUCGUGGGGGAUAACGUAGGGAAACUUACGCUAAUACCGCAUACGACCUACGGGUGAAAGCAGGGGAUCUUCGGACCUUGCGCGAUUGAAUGAGCCGAUGUCGGAUUAGCUAGUUGGCGGGGUAAAGGCCCACCAAGGCGACGAUCCGUAGCUGGUCUGAGAGGAUGAUAAGCCACACUGGAACUGAGACACGGUCCAGACUCCUACGGGAGGCAGCAGUGGGGAAUAUUGGGCAAUGGGCGCAAGCCUGAUCCAGCAAUACCGCGUGGGUGAAGAAGGCCUUCGGGUUGUAAAGCCCUUUUGUUGGGAAAGAAAAGCAGCAGGUUAAUACCCCGCUGUUCUGACGGUACCCAAAGAAUAAGCACCGGCUAACUUCGUG
rnacentral:rRNA from 1 species